UCUAUUAAAGCCCUCCCCUUCCCUUCCUCUGAACCAAACAGAAAUACCGAAGCCACCAACCUUAGAAUAUCACCUCUCCCAAAUUCCUUCAUUCCCAACGCCCGCCGUCUGUAUCCUCCGGCCGCCCACCACCGCCGACGCUUCUUCCUCCUCCGCCCCCAACAGGGCUUGAUAGCUCCACAACAUAUCAAGUCUGGUUGUGGUAGGAAUUUUGUUCAUAUUUUGGAACGAACAGUUUUCAUGGGUCUUCUUCAACCUGCUCCCAAAACAUCAAAUUGUAAUCAAAUUCUUGAGAAGCCCCUACUUAAGAAUAUGGCUGAUUUUCUACAAGAGCUUUACCGGAAACCAUGUAUGCGAUCUCAAGAUGGGAGUUUUUCAAAGUUUGUUUCUCCCAAGAGUUGCUUCUCAUCAGAAAAAAACAACCGUAUUUUGUAGGUUUGUAAAGUACUUUGAAUGGUUAGUUUCUUACAAUUUUACUGCGAUAAUACUAUUGUAUUAGCUUAAUUUUCAUUGAGUGCAUGCAUAGUAAGCAAAAAAACUCAUCUAAGUGAAGUUUAAAUGCAUAUAUAUAUAUAGUAAGUACAUCAAUGAAGUUUCGAGGAAUCUAAAUUCUAUGUCACAAUUAGAUGAUUUAUUUCUCGGGUUCUCUCAUCGUAGGGACAUCUUGGGUCUUUAAUAAAAUUUUAGUUGGGAAUGAAAUUCGAAAAGUAUACUAUAGUGCUUUUGCUUUGUGAUGAUGAAGUCCGAAAGAAGAUGAACUAAUCUUACAAAUAUUUUGCAGAUUGUGUAUGUAGCAAGACUAGCAUGCAGAUACGUGAUGAAUGAAAAGUUGUAUCUCUCUUGCUUGUUGUCCAGUGGGUUUGCCGAGCUACCUUUAACAGUAUCUCGGCUUCCUAUAUUUUACAAGCAAAGAGAUAAUCUCUUUCAUCCUGCAUGGUCAUAGUCUUUAACAAUCUUUUAAGCCGGAUUCCCUAUUCGAUGGUUGAAUCUAUUACAUGGUCUUGCAUGGUAUAUUUCAGCGUUUGAUAAGCCUCCGACGCCGCGAGGACUGAUGAAACCAUGGUGGAUAUGGGCAUACUGGGUAUCUAUAUUAUCCUAUACGCAACCGGAAAUUGCUGUCAAUGAAUUUCUAGUAAUAAAAUAUUGGUAGAACAAUAGUGUGCACCAUACAUUCAAGCAUUGAGAUAUUUGAAGGGAGUCUUUUAAUUUUUAGUCAUUGGGUUUUCAGAAACCACCGGAUAAGAAUAUAGGUGAUUUUCUACAAGAGAUAAAAGGUGAAUUUUCGAUAUCAUCUUCUACCUUUUGUAGAAAAUCAGCCGUAUUCUUAUACGUUAGAUCUCUGAAAACCCAAUGACUUAAAAAUAGAAGAACUUGAGUAGGUUGCCCUUGUUUGUAUAAUGUGCCCCUUAGAAAGUAAUAUUUCACUUAAAAAUGUUAUGGAUGAUAAUAAAAGUAAUGCACUAUUUCCCAUUGGUAUGUUUUA